rnacentral:misc_RNA from 2 species
CCUUAAAGAACCUGCCUUUGCAGUGCUCACACAGAUUGUCUGAUGAACGUAAAGAAGCAAGGCGUCUUGCGAUUGAGACUUCAGUGUCCCCUUCGUCUAGAGGCCCAGGACACCGCCCUUUCACGGCGGUAACAGGGGUUCGAAUCCCCUAGGGGACGCCACUUGCUGGUUCGUGAGUGAAAGACGCGUGCCGAUGUAUCUCAAAACUCAUCUUCGGGUGACGUUUGAGAUAUUUGCUCUUUAAAAAUCUGGAUCAAGCUGAAAAUUGAAACGACACACAGUUAAUGUGUGUUCGAGUCUCUCAAAUUUUCGCAAUCAGAAGUGAAACAUCUUCGGGUUGUGA